CCUACGGGUGACAGCAGUGGGGAAUAUUGCACAAUGGGGGAAACCCUGAUGCAGCGACGCCGCGUGAGUGAAGAAGGAAUUCGUUAUGUAAAGCUCUAUCAGCAGGGAAGAAAAUGACGGUACCUGAGUAAGAAGCCCCGGCUAACUACGUGCCAGCAACCGUGGUAAUACGUAGGGGGCCAGCGUUAUCCGGAUUUACUGGGCGUAAAGGGAGCGUAGACGGCAGUGCAAGUCUGGAGUGAAAGGCGGGGGUUCAACCCCCGGACUGCUCUGGAAACUGGACGGCUGGAGUGCGGGAGAGGUAAGUGGAAUUCCUGGUGUAGCGGUGAAAUGCGUAGAUAUUAGGAGGAACACCAGUGGCGAAGGCGGCUUACUGGACUGUAACUGACGUUGAGGCUCGAAAGCGUGGGGAGCGAACAGGAUUAGAUACCCGAGUAGUC
rnacentral:rRNA from 1 species